CAUAGAUCGAUUGGCCUGGGAUCCAGUACAGAUAACAAUGAAUUCUAUACAAAGUAAGUCUGCUACCGAAACACAUCCAAUCCCUUCUAAGUAUAGACUGUCAGUGUUUCAUUGUUACUGCAAGGGUUAAGGUAUAAGGCCAGUUAUUAAUUCACUCAUUGAUUCCUUAUUGGGAACUGACAGGCAGUGCACGGGUUAAUCCAGCCAGAUUCCCCUCAUUAAGCG